GAUCAUGGCUCAGGAUGAACGCUGGCGGCGUGCUUAACACAUGCAAGUCGAACGAAGCACUUUAAUUGAUUUCUUCGGAAUGAAGUUUUUGUGACUGAGUGGCGGACGGGUGAGUAACGCGUGGGUAACCUGCCUCAUACAGGGGGAUAACAGUUAGAAAUGACUGCUAAUACCGCAUAAGCGCACAGGGUCGCAUGACCUGGUGUGAAAAACUCCGGUGGUAUGAGAUGGACCCGCG
rnacentral:rRNA from 1 species